CAUAUGGAAAAAUGCAGCAAUACCAAGUAAUAGUUACCACAAAGUUAAAAAAAAUAAAUUAAUGAUAUGGGGUGACAAGAAGCAGGAAUAAUUUAAAAAUGAAAUGACAGGAUGCAAUUUUUUUUUUAAGUACUCAGAGUGAGCAUAUUCCCACUCCUACCACAUAGCCAAUGGAAGCAGAGCAUUCUACAGGAAACUUUCAUGAGGAAUUGCAAAAAAAUGUUCUGUGAAAGAAUUGAAAUAUUUCACCUAGAAAACCAGAUCUUCAUCUUUAAAAGAAAGUUGUGUAAUGUCCUGCUCAGUGAAGGCAUGCAUUCCUGGAAGAGCGGAGGUCCUGAGAAUGUCAAAAGCUCUUGAAAACAGGUCCAGUUUCCACUUUGCCAGACGCUAUGGCAAAGACUGCUCUGAGAGCUAAUUUUGGAUAAUGAGCAAUCAGCAGGGGCAGAACAUCCUGUAAGUAUCUACAGCUGAACACUCUUAAACAAGAUUGGGAUCACCCAGAGCUUUUCUCCUGGGUGUUAAUAUGGUGAUUAAAGUUUACAAGUGGCCCAUGGUUUUAUUUUGGUCUUGUCACAUUCAAUGGCAUCUAGGCAGGAAAUCUGCUUUAAUGUAUCAAUGUUUUUGGUCACCUAUGUGCAGAAUGCCUGACAUGCUUGUGUAGAAUAACUGCUGUAUAAAUUCAGUCAUGAUUGCUGUAUAAAUGGUGUUAGGCAAAGGUGUGUCAGGAUACUCGAAAAUAUUAUUUGGAUAAAUACACUUUUACUGGAACAUCUGCUUUAUUCUGCCAGGAUGUCUUGAAGUACAAAUCUUGUGUUGUAUGUAAAAUAGGCCCACUCAGAGAUGUUUGUAACACACAAAUGUGUGCUCUGUCACUGUGAGAAAUACCUCCUCCGAGCUGGCAAUGUCUGCUGCCAGCACUGUGUACUAGCAGAUCCUGUCAUCUAUUGUUAUGCACGUUUUUCUCAACAAAAGUCAACAUGAGACCUCCUACUUGCAUAUUUUUGUGUAAAUUUCUUUGUCAGUGUGCAGAGACAAACUGCCAACUUUUGGAAGGUGACC
rnacentral:lncRNA from 1 species